UACGUAGGCAGCGAGCGUUGUUCGGAGUUACUGGGCGUAAAGCGUGCGUAGGCGGUGGUCCAAGUCUGGUGUGAAAUCUCCCGGCUCAACUGGGAGGGUGCGCCGGAAACUGGAUGACUGGAGUGCCGGAGAGGUAAGCGGAAUUCCUGGUGUAGCGGUGAAAUGCGUAGAGAUCAGGAGGAACACCUGUGGUGUAGACAGCUUACUGGACGGUGACUGACGCUGAGGCACGAAAGCGUGGGUAGCAAACAGG
rnacentral:rRNA from 1 species